rnacentral:rRNA from 1 species
UGCGUAGGCGGCCUUGUCCGUCAGAGGUGAAAUCUACCGGCUCACCCGGUCAGACUGCCUCUGAAACUGCAAGGCUUGAGUCCGUGAGGGAUGGUGGAAUUCCUGGUGUAACGGUGAAAUGUGCAGAUAUCAGGAAGAACACCGGUGGCGAAGGCGGCCAUCUGGCACGGUACUGACGCUGAGGCACGAAAGCUAGGGUAUCGAAC